rnacentral:rRNA from 1 species
UACGAAGGGGGCGAGCGUUGUCCGGAAUUAUUGGGCGUAAAGAGCUCGUAGGCGGCUUGUCGCGUCGACUGUGAAAACCCGUGGCUCAACCAUGCGGUCUGCAGUCGAUACGGGCAGGCUAGAAUUCGGUAGGGGAGACUGGAAUUCCUGGUGUAGCGGUGAAAUGCGCAGAUAUCAGGAGGAACACCGGUGGCGAAGGCGGGUCUCUGGGCCGAUAUUGACGCUGAGGAGCGAAAGCGUGGGGAGCGAACAGG